AACGUAGGAGGCAAGCGUUAUCCGGAGUUACUGGGCGUAAAGGGUGUGUAGGUGGCGCCGUAAGUCGGGUGUGAAAUUUCGGAGCUUAACUCCGAAACUGCAUUCGAUACUGCGGUGCUUGAGGACUGGAGAGGAGACUGGAAUUCAUGGUGUAGCAGUGAAAUGCGUAGAGAUCAUGAGGAAGACCAGUGGCGAAGGCGGGUCUCUGGACAGUUCCUGACACUGAGACACGAAGGCCAGGGGAGCAAACGGG
rnacentral:rRNA from 1 species